rnacentral:rRNA from 1 species
AUGAAGGCGUUUCCUUCCAAGGUCGUGAUCCUUCGCUGCAACAGUCUCAGGCCCCUGUAUCUCGUUUGUCGUCCUCGACAAGAUGAAGCUCUCGUCACAACCACUUCGUCAUCACUCUGGCAUCGCCGCCUCGGACAUCCUGGUCAUCACACCAUGUCACGUCUUCAACACUUCAAGUCUAGUUCAUACAAUAAAGAUGGGUCACCACUCUGUCAUGCCUAUCAGUUAGGAAAACAUGUUAGGCUUCCGUUUUAUGAUUCUCAAACAUAUACAAUUCAUCCGUCUCAAGCUAGCAACCCCAAUUCAUAUCAGUUUUUACAGUGA